rnacentral:rRNA from 1 species
CCUACGGGUGGCUGCAGUGGGGAAUAUUGGACAAUGGGGGCAACCCUGAUCCAGCCAUGCCGCGUGUGUGAAGAAGGCCCUCGGGUUGUAAAGCACUUUCAGUGAGGAAGAACGCCUGGUGGUUAAUACCCAUCAGGAAAGACAUCACUCACAGAAGAAGCACCGGCUAACUCCGUGCCAGCAGCCGCGGUAAUACGGAGGUGCGAGCGUUAAUCGGAAUUACUGGGCGUAAAGCGCGCGUAGGUGGCUUGAUAAGCCGGUUGUGAAAGCCCCGGGCUCAACCUGGGAACGGCAUCCGGAACUGUCAAGCUAGAGUGCAGGAGAGGAAGGUAGAAUUCCCGGUGUAGCGGUGAAAUGCGUAGAGAUCGGGAGGAAUACCAGUGGCGAAGGCGGCCUUCUGGACUGACACUGACACUGAGGUGCGAAAGCGUGGGUAGCAAACAGGAUUAGAUACCCGAGUAGUC